ACAAGCCGACGAUCUGUAGCUGGUCUGAGAGGACGACCAGCCACACUGGGGCUGAGACACGGCCCAGACUCCUACGGGAGGCAGCAGUGGGGAAUUUUGGACAAUGGGCGCAAGCCUGAUCCAGCCAUGCCGCGUGCAGGAUGAAGGCCUUCGGGUUGUAAACUGCUUUUGUACGGAACGAAAAGACUCUGGUUAAUACCUGGGGUCCAUGACGGUACCGUAAGAAUAAGCACCGGCUAACUACGUGCCAGCAGCCGCGGUAAUACGUAGGGUGCGAGCGUUAAUCGGAAUUACUGGGCGUAAAGCGUGCGCAGGCGGUUAUGUAAGACAGAUGUGAAAUCCCCGGGCUCAACCUGGGAACUGCAUUUGUGACUGCAUAGCUAGAGUACGGCAGAGGGGGAUGGAAUUCCGCGUGUAGCAGUGAAAUGCGUAGAUAUGCGGAGGAACNACCGANUGGCGAAGGCAAUCCCCUGGGCCUGUACUGACGCUCAUGCACGAAAGCGUGGGGAGCAAACAGGAUUAGAUACCCUGGUAGUCCACGCCCUAAACGAUGUCAACUGGUUGUUGGGUCUUCACUGACUCAGUAACGAAGCUAACGCGUGAAGUUGACCGCCUGGGGAGUACGGCCGCAAGGUUGAAACUCAAAGNGAAUUGACGGGGNACCCGCACAAGCGGUGGAUGAUGUGGUUUAAUUCGAUGCAACGCGAAAAACCCUACCCACCUUUGACAUGUACGGAAUCCUUUAGAGAUAGAGGAGA
rnacentral:rRNA from 1 species